UACGGAGGGUGCAAGCGUUAAUCGGAAUUACUGGGCGUAAAGCGCACGUAGGUGGUUUGCUAAGUCAGCUGUGAAAUCCCCGGGCUCAACCUGGGCACUGCAGUUGAAACUGGCAAGCUAGAGUAGGGUAGAGGGGUGUGGAAUUCCAGGUGUAGCGGUGAAAUGCGUAGAUAUCUGGAGGAACAUCAGUGGCGAGGGCGACACCCUGGACUCAUACUGACACUGAGGUGCGAAAGCGUGGGGAGCAAACAGG
rnacentral:rRNA from 1 species